UCUCUCUCUCUCUCUCUCUCUCUCUCUCUCUCUCUCUCUCUCUCUCUCUCUCUCACACACACACGCACACACACACACAGGAUGGCCGAGGAGAGUGUGUCAGAGUCCUUUGACAGACUCCUGCGUGUGUACCAAGACAUAGAGUCCUCCAGCCUGCCCACCAAUGACCCUCAGCUGCAGACCAAGAUCACCGAGGCCAUCGCAGGCUUGGUCCGCGCCACCGUCCUUGUGUCCGAGCUCGGCAUCUUCAGCUCCAACGAAACCCUUGAAGACCUCCCCACCUCCUCCAUCAAGCUGCUCCUUCUCCCGGCACUCCUCGGCACUCUUACCCUCAAACAGACAGACAAGGAUCGGACUGAGACUCUACGCAUUGCCGCUGUCUAUCUCCGGGACUUCCUACAACGGUGCUUUAGCUAUGGGGUGACUAAGACUAGGCCCCCGCAGCACCUAGGAGACUCAGAGGAAGAGGAGGAGGAAGAGGAGGGGAGGAGGAAUAAGGGUCAGGAUGUGAAGAGGAAUGGCCCACCGACACCUGAGGAGCUGCAGGAGAUGGCCCGGCAGAGGCAGGACAAGAUCAGCCGCUACAGGGAGAGGACGGACAUGGUGGCGCGGCUGGACAUCCUGAAGGCCAUGUACAGGCAGCGGGCCGAGGACGAGGAGGUGGCCAGGAAGUACCACACCACACUCGUACAGAAGUUUGCCCUGGAGAGCGUGGAGGAGCUGGAGAGUGUGGUCAUGGAAAGGAAGAUGUUGCAGCAGAUGGCCUCACUCAAGCUGAAGGGUGGGGGGGAAGCAGCCAGCCCCCCACCCCCCACGGCACCCCCUCUCAAGCCCAUCCUGAUCACCCGAGACGCAGCGCAGAAGAACGUCUUUGGUCUGGGGUACCCUAGUCGACCCAGCUUGACGGUGCAGGAAUUCUACGACCAGCGUGUCAGGGAUGGCUGGUUCCCGGACCCCACCAAGAGCAGGUCCUGCCUCCAAGACCGCUCCACCAUGACGCCGGAGCAGGAGGCCGCCAUCAGGGAGGCGGAGGAGGCGGAGGAGGAGCGGAAGGCGGAAGAGGAGGAGGACCCUGAGGUCUUGGAGCGGGCAAGGGCGAGGGAUGAGUGGAGGGACAACCACCGGAGGGGCUGGGGCAACACCUACAACAGGAGCUGAGUGUGGGGGCAUAAGGGAUUGGAUUCUGUUAAAAGGGAUUGGAUGCUGUUAAAGAGGAUUAGGGCAUUAGGAAGGGGAUUAGAUGCUCUUUAUAAACCUAAGAAUGUGAGGUUUACAAAUAUUAGAGCACUGAGUGGGGGGAAGGGAUUGGAUGCUGUUAAAGAGGGUUAGGGCAUUAGGAAGGGGAUUAGAUGCUCUUUAUAAACCUAAGAAUGAGGUCUAGAAGAGGACUAACAUUGCUGGAGUGAAGGGGUUAGAAGGAUGAGGGCAUUAUGAAGGGGAUCUAAGACUGCUGGAUAGGGAAUUUAACCAGACAUUUUAAAUAGAAGUGAUGCUGCUUUAAUAGGGAGAAGCUAACAGUUGGGGGAUCAAAAUGCUGUCAACCUGGUAGCAGCGGGGAUCAUGUUUCCUAAUGGUUCCUCUAAGCGAGAAAAAUGAGAAAAAAUCAUCACUCACACAAACCAUUUCAUAAUAUAUAUCGAUGCAUUUGUGAUCAGUUUAUGUAUCAUCUAUUUUAGGGGGUUUAAAUCAUGGCACAAAUUUGGCCCGUCGCUGCUACAGGGUUAAAGGGGUUCAGAUCACAGAGUUAUAGACUAGAGGGUUCAACUCCAAUCUCUCGCCACGGUGAGAGGUGAAGCCACUGCUCCUGCCUGUAACUCUAAGGUCGGCCGCCAUAGGGUGACGGAUUGGCGGCCUUUCCAUGAUAACACAUGUUUACA